rnacentral:misc_RNA from 1 species
CCGAGUGAGAGCCCCCGGGCUCGACCUCCAACCCUUUGAUUAACCAACUCAUGUUGCCUCGGGGGCGACCCGGUCGCGUCGGAUUCCGACGUCGGCGACGGGGCCCCCGACGGACCCCCACACAACGCUGCAUCUUUGCGUCGGGUUGAUCAGAAAAUCAAUUA